rnacentral:rRNA from 1 species
UACGUAGGGUGCAAGCGUUGUCCGGAAUUAUUGGGCGUGAAGAGCUCGUAGGCGGUUCGUCGCGUCGGCUGUGAAGACCCGGAGCUCAACUCCGGGCCUGCAGUCGAUACGGGCGGACUUGAGUGUUGCAGGGGAGACUGGAAUUCCUGGUGUAGCGGUGAAAUGCGCAGAUAUCAGGAGGAACACCGGUGGCGAAGGCGGGUCUCUGGGCAACAACUGACGCUGAGGAGCGAAAGCGUGGGGAGCGAACAGG